rnacentral:rRNA from 1 species
AGCGAACGCUGGCGGCAGGCCUAACACAUGCAAGUCGAACGAAGUCUUCGGACUUAGUGGCGGACGGGUGAGUAACACGUGGGAACGUGCCUUUAGGUUCGGAAUAACUCAGGGAAACUUGUGCUAAUACCGAAUGUGCCCUUCGGGGGAAAGAUUUAUCGCCUUUAGAGCGGCCCGCGUCUGAUUAGCUAGUUGGUGAGGUAACGGCUCACCAAGGCGACGAUCAGUAGCUGGUCCGAGAGGAUGACCAGCCACACUGGGACUGAGACACGGCCCAGACUCCUACGGGAGGCAGCAGUGGGGAAUCUUGCGCAAUGGGCGAAAGCCUGACGCAGCCAUGCCGCGUGAAUGAUGAAGGUCUUAGGAUUGUAAAAUUCUUUCACCGGGGACGAUAAUGACGGUACCCGGAGAAGAAGCCCCGGCUAACUUCGUGCCAGCCGCCGCGGUAAGAC